ACACGUUUUUGUGUGCCUGGCAGGUGUCACUUUCUACAAGAAGGGGAAAAAUUGCCUAACUAGAGAGAGGAACUGAAGCCUGGCCUGAGAGAAUAUGGGCUCUCAACGUGAACUCUGGAGGAGACAUCACUUUCUCCAUCCCUCCCUCCCUUCAGUCCUUCGCUGCCACUUCUCAGGGCAGGGCCCAUCAGGCUUGCUUGUUAACGAUGUCGCUGCUCUCUGCCCCUCUUCCUUGCRCUGAGUAAACCUUCCUGCAACACAAGAGUGGACUUCUCUGAACAGACCUCUCCAUUUUACUGGUUCAACCCUUACCACUGGAAAAAGAAAAAAAAGAAGACUGUUUAUACUGUGGACAAGGGCUGAAGUUAUUUAAUUGCUAAAAUAUGUUUUGAAGUUUGGAGAUUCUGAAACAGCUUCCCUCCCCUGCGUYGCAGGAGUCCCUGGAGACUGAUACAGCCUUGGAAGAAUGCUGUUCCUAACACAAUUACAGCUAGGUAAUGAAUCAUAAGUCACAAUGGUGAAAUUGUUUUUAUUUCUGCUUUUAAUAUGUGUUGGUGGACAUCUUGCUUUAGUAUUAAUAUCUGAACUUCCAAAGCCUUCUGGAGUGUCCUUGAGAUCCCACAGUGAAUUUCUCCA
rnacentral:lncRNA from 1 species